UGUGGGAUUAACCCUGCUCGGUCCUUUGGCUCCGCGGUGAUCACACACAACUUCAGCAACCACUGGUUUUCUGGGUGGGGCCAUUCAUCGGGGGAGCCCUGGCUGUACUCAUCUACGACUUCAUCCUGGCCCCACGCAGCAGUGACCUCACAGACCGCGUGAAGGUGUGGACCAGCGGCCAGGUGGAGGAGUAUGACCUGGAUGCCGACGACAUCAACUCCAGGGUGGAGAUGAAGCCCAAAUAGAAGGGGCCUGGGAUUCUACCGUAAUUGCUUUGUGCCUUUGGGCACGGCCCUCCUUCUUUUCCUAACAUGCACCUUGCUCCCAAUGGU
rnacentral:lncRNA from 1 species